rnacentral:lncRNA from 1 species
AGGCCAGGCCAGAAGGACCAGGGACUACAAACUCACCUUCAGGGCUCCUAAGCUGCUGCGGAGCUAGACGGCGGGCUGUGGGUGGGGAGGAGACUAGAAUAUUCUGAGACGGGGUCAGGUGGGAGUUGGGAGAGGUAACUUGGAGUUGCUGCCCAAGAUGCAGCUCAGCUCCAGUGGCCACACCAAGACGGUUUAAGACAGAGCGGAACCAGGGAGGUUGUUUUUGGUGGCUGGGGGCUUGGGUUUGAGUUCCUUGAACAGCAGAAGGUGCUUGGAUUUAGGGAGGUGAGGCUGGGAAGGGUUCGGGUAUGAGAAAGGAAGCUGAAGUUCCCUGGCGUGGGUGGCAGGAAGGGCUCUAACC